rnacentral:rRNA from 1 species
AUUGAACGCUGGCGGAAUGCUUUACACAUGCAAGUCGAACGGCAGCACGGACUUCGGUCUGGUGGCGAGUGGCGAACGGGUGAGUAAUGUAUCGGAACGUGCCCAGUCGUGGGGGAUAACGUAGUGAAAAUUACGCUAAUACCGCAUACGAUCUAUGGAUGAAAGCGGGGGAUCGCAAGACCUCGCGCGAUUGGAGCGGCCGAUAUCAGAUUAGGUAGUUGGUAGGGUAAAGGCCUACCAAGCCAACGAUCUGUAGCUGGUCUGAGAGGACGACCAGCCACACUGGAACUGAGACACGGUCCAGACUCCUACGGGAGGCAGCAGUGGGGAAUUUUGGACAAUGGGCGAAAGCCUGAUCCAGCCAUUCCGCGUGCAGGAUGAAGGCCCUCGGGUUGUAAACUGCUUUUGUACAGAACGAAAAGGUUUCUACUAAUACUAGGAGCUCAUGACGGUACUGUAAGAA